GCAUGUCCGCAUGAUUAAAAGUAUUUUCCGGUAGACGAUGGGGAUGCGUUCCAUUAGAUAGUAGGCGGGGUAACGGCCCACCUAGUCAACGAUGGAUAGGGGUUCUGAGAGGAAGGUCCCCCACAUUGGAACCGAGACACGGUCCAAACUCCUACGGGAGGCAGCAGUGAGGAAUAUUGGUCAAUGGGCGAUGGCCUGAACCAGCCAAGUAGCGUGAAGGAUGACUGCCCUAUGGGUUGUAAACUUCUUUUAUAAAGGAAUAAAGUCGGGUAUGCAUACCCGUUUGCAUGUACUUUAUGAAUAAGGAUCGGCUAACUCCGUGCCAGCAGCCGCGGUAAUACGGAGGAUCCGAGCGUUAUCCGGAUUUAUUGGGUUUAAAGGGAGCGUAGAUGGAUGUUUAAGUCAGUUGUGAAAGUUUGCGGCUCAACCGUAAAAUUGCAGUUGAUACUGGAUGUCUUGAGUGCAGUUGAGGCAGGCGGAAUUCGUGGUGUAGCGGUGAAAU
rnacentral:rRNA from 1 species